rnacentral:rRNA from 1 species
GAUUAACGCUGGCGGCGUGCCUAACACAUGCAAGUCGAACGAGGUAGCAAUACCUAGUGGCAGACGGGUGAGUAACACGUGGUCAACCUUCCCUUUAGUGGGGGAUAACUAGCCGAAAGGUUAGCUAAUACCGCAUACGAUCUGCACCCGGCAUCGGGAGCAGAUGAAAGGAGCAAUCCGCUUAAGGACGGGACCGCGUCCCAUUAGUUAGUUGGUGGGGUAAUGGCCUACCAAGACUCCGAUGGGUAGCUGGUUUGAGAGAGCGACCAGCCACACU